rnacentral:rRNA from 1 species
GACGAACGCUGGCGGCGUGCUUAACACAUGCAAGUCGAACGGAGUGGCGAACGGGUGAGUAUUGCGUGAGUAACCUGCCCUCAACUGUGGGAUACUCCUGGGAAACUGGGUCUAAUACUGCAUAGUUGGGGAUGGGCUCGCGGCCUAUCAGCUUGUUGGGGGGGUGAUGGCCUACCAAGGCGGUGACGGGUAGCCGGCCUGUGAGGGUGGGCGGGAACAUGGGGAGUGGGAGACGGCCCAGACACCUAGCGGAGGGAGAAGUGGGGGAAAGGGCACAAGGGUGGCAAGGCUGAGGCAGGGACGCGGCGUGAGGGAUGAAGGCUUUCGGGUUGUAAACCUGUGUCGGUACAGAACGGUUAUGGGCAGAAGAAGCGCCGGCUAACUACGUGCCAGCAGCCGCGGUAAUAC